rnacentral:rRNA from 1 species
ACAAGCGGAGGAGCAUGUGGUUUAAUUCGAUGAUACGCGAGGAACCUUACCUGGGCUCGAACGUAAGAUGACUGUAGGUGAAAGCUUACAUCUCUUCGGAGCAUUUUUACGAGGUGCUGCAUGGUUGUCGUCAGCUCGUGCCGUGAGGUGUCGGGUUAAGUCCCAUAACGAGCGCAACCCUACCUUUAGUUGCCAUCAGGUAAUGCUGGGGACUCUAAAGGAACUGCCUACGCAAGUAGUGAGGAAGCGGGGAUGACGUCAAAUCAGCACGGCCCUUACGUCCAGGGCUACACACGUGCUACAAUGGCCGAUACAGAGGGCAGCUACCUGGUGACAGGAUGCAAAUCUCCAAAGUCGGUCUCAGUUCGGAUCGGAGUCUGCAACCCGACUCCGUGAAGUUGGAUUCGCUAGUAAUCGCGCAUCAGCCAUGGCGCGGUGAAUACGUUCCCGGGCCUC